GAUGAGAACAGAUUCUCCUAAUAAAGAAUAUUUUGAAAUCUAAUUUUAAAACCUUUCUUUUAUCAAAACUAAAUCAAAUUUGGAUGUGAGAUAGAUAAGGAAAAUGAGUCUUUGGUGUGAAGACAUUUCACACAAAACGAUUUUGUGCAUGGAGAUAUAUGGAGUGCAAUCUGGGUUGGCGCAGAGAGAAGAGUCCUAUUCUA
rnacentral:lncRNA from 1 species